rnacentral:rRNA from 1 species
GACGAACGCUGGCGGCGUGCUUAACACAUGCAAGUCGAACGGUAAGGCCCUUCGGGGUACACGAGUGGCGAACGGGUGAGUAACACGUGGGUGAUCUGCCCUGCACUUCGGGAUAAGCCUGGGAAACUGGGUCUAAUACCGGAUAGGACCACUGCCUGCAUGGGUGGUGGUGGAAAGCUUUUGCGGUGUGGGAUGGGCCCGCGGCCUAUCAGCUUGUUGGUGGGGUGAUGGCCUACCAAGGCGACGACGGGUAGCCGGCCUGAGAGGGUGACCGGCCACAAUGGGACUGAGAUACGGCCCAGACUCCUACGGGAGGCAGCAGUGGGGAAUAUUGCACAAUGGGCGCAAGCCUGAUGCAGCGACGCCGCGUGAGGGAUGACGGCCUUCGGGUUGUAAACCUCUUUCAGCACCGACGAAGCGCAAGUGACGGUACCUACAGAAGAAGGACCGGCCAACUACGUGCCAGCCGCCGCCGUAA